rnacentral:rRNA from 1 species
UACGUAGGUGGCUAGCGUUGUCCGGAUUUACUGGGCGUAAAGAGCGCGCAGGCGGUCGUUCAAGUCGAGUGUGAAAGCCCCCGGCUCAACUGGGGAGGGUCACUCGAUACUGAUCGACUUGAAGGCGGGAGAGGGAAGCGGAAUUCCCGGUGUAGUGGUGAAAUGCGUAGAUAUCGGGAGGAACACCAGUGGCGAAGGCGGCUUUCUGGCCUGUUCUUGACGCUGAGGCGCGAAAGCUAGGGGAGCAAACGGG